rnacentral:tRNA from 1 species
GGGGAUGUAGCUUAGUGGUAUAGCACCUGCUUAGCAUGCAUAAGGCCCUGAAGUUCAAACCCCAGCACCCCA